rnacentral:rRNA from 1 species
GGCUCAACCCCCGGGUCUGCAGUGGGUACGGGCAGACUAGAGUGAUGUAGGGGAGACUGGAAUUCCUGGUGUAGCGGUGAAAUGCGCAGAUAUCAGGAGGAACACCGAUGGCGAAGGCAGGUCUCUGGGCAUUAACUGACGCUGAGGAGCGAAAGCAUGGGGAGCGAACAGGAUUAGAUACCCUGGUAGUCCAUGCCGUAAACGUUGGGCACUAGGUGUGGGGGACAUUCCACGUUUUCCGCGCCGUAGCUAACGCAUUAAGUGCCCCGCCUGGGGAGUACGGCCGCAAGGCUAAAACUCAAAGGAAUUGACGGGGGCCCGCACAAGCGGCGGAGCAUGCGGAUUAAUUCGAUGCAACGCGAAGAACCUUACCAAGACUUGACAUGAACCGGAAAGGCCUGGAAACAGGUCCCCCACUUGUGGCCGGUUUACAGGUGGUGCAUGGUUGUCGUCAGCUCGUGUCGUGAGAUGUUGGGUUAAGUCCCGCAACGAGCGCAACCCUCGUUCUAUGUUGCCAGCGCGUAAUGGCGGGGACUCAUAGGAGACUGCCGGGGUCAACUCGGAGGAAGGUGGGGACGACGUCAAAUCAUCAUGCCCCUUAUGUCUUGGGCUUCACGCAUGCUACAAUGGCCGGUACAAAGGGUUGCGAUACUGUGAGGUGGAGCUAAUCCCAAAAAGCCGGUCUCAGUUCGGAUUGAGGUCUGCAACUCGACCUCAUGAAGUUGGAGUCGCUAGUAAUCGCAGAUCAGCAACGCUGCGGUGAAUACGUUCCCGGGCCUUGU